rnacentral:lncRNA from 1 species
ACUCGCUCACUAAUAGCUUAUCCAAUUGCUCUUUAUUCAUUACUCUUAUUUUCUCAUCAGUUUCUUUUCCUUGCUCUUCUCCAACUCUCAAGAGUCAAAAUCGCUAGUUUAAAACAUGACACUCGACAACCUUAAUUGCUGCCCAACACAAGGUGAAAUUUUAUCACGUCUAAUUAUAUUGUAUUUAUUUUUUGUAAUGUGUAGAUUGUUUGAGUUUAGUUGGUUGAUUACUUGAUUUUAGAUACGAAUGUGAAGUAAAAUGGUAUCUGGACAUUCGAUUUUGUUCAUGUUAGGCAAUGUGUUUGUAAAAUAGUUGUGUGUUGUUUGAGGUUAUUUUGAUGCUGGCUUGGAUGCUUUAACGUGGUGAUACUGACUUAGUUAUGUAUAUGUUUGCUUUAUGUGAUGUUGGCAGCCUCAUUUUAUCGUGGAAGGGGUUUCUGAAAGGCCCAAAAACUUACAUAU